CGAGGUCUUGACGAUCCAGUCGGGGGUUUGAGUCCUAACUGGCCCGUCAAGUCCCUCC
rnacentral:pre_miRNA from 1 species